rnacentral:rRNA from 1 species
UACGGGGGGGCAAGCGUUGUUCGGAAUUACUGGGCGUAAAGGGCUCGUAGGCGGCCAACUAAGUCGGACGUGAAAUCCCUCGGCUCAACCGGGGAACUGCGUCCGAUACUGGAUGGCUCGAGUUCGGGAGAGGGAUGCGGAAUUCCAGGUGUAGCGGUGAAAUGCGUAGAUAUCUGGAGGAACACCGGUGGCGAAGGCGGCAUCCUGGACCGACACUGACGCUGAGGAGCGAAAGCCAGGGAGCAAACGGG